CCUACGGGUGGCAGCAGUGGGGAAUAUUGGGCAAUGGGCGCAAGCCUGACCCAGCAACGCCGCGUGAAGGAAGAGGGCCCUCCGGUUGUUAACUUCUUUUGUUAGGGACGAAGAAAGUGACGGUACCUGACGAAUAAGCCACGGCUAUCAACGUGCCAGAAGCCGCUGUAAUACGUAGGUGGCAAGCGUUAUCCGGAUUUACUGGGUGUAAAGGGCGUGUAGGCUGGACUGCAAGUCAGAUGUAAAAUUCCAGGGCUAAACCCUGAACUGCAUUUGAAACUGUAGUUCUUGAGUAAUGGAGAGGCAGGCGGAAUUCGGUGUGUAGCGGUGAAAUGCGUAGAUAUCCGGAGGAACACCAGUGGCGAAGGCGGCCUGCUGGACAGUAACUGACACUGAGGCGCGAAAGCGUGGGGAGCAAACAGGAUUAGAUACCCUUGUAGUC
rnacentral:rRNA from 1 species